CCCGGAUGGUCAAAGUGUAUGUUGAGGUCGAGCACACCAGUUGCCAACUCGCCAAUGAAAUUAAGCAGAGGUCUGACUGAAGAUGAAUUACAUAUGAUGAGCAAAGACUUCAAGUGUGGAGUGACAUGAAAAGCACCUGCUAUCUCAGGCCAGUUCUCAUAUCUGGAAUUUACAUCCACUGGAAAAAAGGAAGAAAAACCUCCUGCACCUUGAAUUCCACGGCAGAAAACAUUGCUCCGUCUCAUGAAGAAACUGUCGUGUUUUCGUCUGUCCACCUCUGAUGAAAUCACUUGCCAUCGCCAUCCAAUGACAUCACCUCAGUUCACUACGUCAACC